GGCAGUGAUGGGCUGGAUGUGGGCCAAGAAAUUGAAUCCUGAAAAGACAGGUGUGUUAUGUGUUCCAAGUUAUCAAAUGUGGGAAAAGAGUGUUUUCUGGAUAGCGGUUACACUCCCCACUUUCUGGAUAGCGGUUACACUCCCCUGAAAGGAGCAGGGGUUCAGGCGGCCUUGGUAGUUCAGAGUGCCUAUUUCCAGCUAUGGCUGGUUCACCAGCUAUGAUUCCUUUUAGGCAGAGAUGAUUUAGCCAUGGUGUUCCACACUCUAGUUAAACUUCCAGAUUGGAUUAUUGUAAUCCUGUGUACACGAGGCUGACCUUGACUCAGAACUUGAACUGGUCUAAAAUGCAAUGGCCAGGUUGCUAGCUAGGGUUGCCUUUAGAAUUCACAUAAGCCAUUUUAAGGCAGCUGCACCAAAUGCCUGUAUGUUUCUGGGCCCAAUUUAAGGUGCUCAUGCUACUGUUUAAAGCCCUAAAAGACUUAGGACCCAGAUAGCUGCAAAGGCCACUGCCUCCCUAGAGACCCUGCUUAGUGUUAAGAUUUGCAUUGGGGGCCCUCUUAGUAGUUCCACCUCUCUCAGCAGUUUUGGGGUAGUGCCUCUGUGGGAUAUUUACAACGCAGUCAAACCAAUGAUGUAUGUUUGCUAGACAGGCACAUGAUAGGGGCUGAAGCUCAAAGAGUUUUCCUGUAAGUUUGCUAGAGAGAACUCUGAGAGCCACUGUGUCCUUUUCUCACCUCAUUCCAGCAACGUGAGAACAUAUGCUGAGUCUGAGGCACAGGUCAGACUCCAUUUUAAACUGGACUAAAGUAUGUCGUCGUAACUGGAUUACCAUUUUAAGCCUGCCUGAACAAAGCCGCUGCGUCUGUUACUCUUCAACAAGUAUUCUGAGUGAGUAAACGUCAUUUUUACUAUUUACAAGAUUGUUUAUGUGGUUAUUGUUUUCAGGAGGAAAAUACCAGGAGAAUCCAGCCUGCCUUAAAACAUCCUGAAUGACUUAAAUUAAAAGGCUAAAACUAGCCUAUCUAAGCUUCCCUUCUAAGCUGCAAAGGAAUGCACUCUGCUGAACUCACAAACAUGAGGAAGGAAGGAUAAUAUCUAAUAAAUAUAUCCUCCCUUAGCAUCUAUACACAUCCCUAUAGCCACCAGACAAGGCAUUCUCUGUGGUAGCCCCUAAGUUGGGGAAUUCCCUCCACACAGGUGUGUGUCUGGCAAAUUCACAAAAUAACUUUUGGCGAUACUGAAAAUGCCCCUUUUACCCUGGGCCUUGACACCUGAGAUGUGUGUUUUCAGAACUUACCUGUUUCCUGUGACUGUAAUCCAUUUUAAAUGCUUUUAAUUCUGAUUUUAAUUUAUGCUGAAAACCACCCUGGGAUCUGCUAGUGAUAGGUGGGUAAUAUUAAUAGUACAACAAAUACAACAAGCAAACCAAUGCACCAUUGGGAAUAAGCUCUGUGGAAUAUAGCACGACUCAGUUGUGAGUAAAUAAUACUGUAAUAAUAAUAAUACUGGACAGGCUGUAAGGCUUUUCUAAAUAAUAUAGAGAUCAGUGUUUAAAAUUUAACAUUCUAAAGUUAACAAAAAAGUUUCUAUCACGUUGCAGUUUCUCUUGAAAUUUCCAGAUAAUUCUGACAUAGUGAGCAUAUUCUGCUAGUAAUAUUUGAAUGCAAUACAUUAAUUUCUUUUCAUCAUCUGAGCUGUCUCUAGAAGCAGAUCAUAAAACUACCCCACUAGCAAACAAGCCUAGAGCAAACAUUUACAGUAUUUCCCAUACUCAUUUUAAUUUUUGAUACACAAAGAGAUCAGAUCUUUAUUUUUUGUUAUGCCUGACAGAGCUCUAUGUCUGCUGGUGAAGUUUGUGUGUGUGUGUGAUUUUUGGCUUUCUCUGUCCCUGGUGAGCACUGCUGCCACAUUUUAACUUGAACUCAUGGUCACCUGAUACUUGACCUCUCACCCUGUGACCUCAUUUCCAAUAGGGCUUUAAGCUGGGGGAUUUAAGACUGUGGCACAAAGACAGUUACUUAAGGAAAGCAGGCCACUGUUUCAGUCAAUGUCCUCUUAUAUCCCUGACACUUUUUACUAAAAUAUUUAACCUUCAACACUAGAGGAGAUGACAUUAACUUUUAUUUUUCUUGGUUUUGAGAGUAUGACCUUUUCUGUCAUGAUUUUUUACUCACUUCCCAUCCACCACUGAAGAAGAAUCUGUAAAGGUAUACCCCAAAACAGAAGGAAGCAUUUAGUGAACAAUUAAAAUUAGGGAAACUUAGGAAGAAAUUUUGGGUAUUAAUCAUAGUGUAUUUAAAAGGGCUUUGGGUAGUCUGCCUUCUAACCCUUUCAUCUUCUCCACACUUCGACUUGUAUGAGAUUGUAAGCCUAUGGACAGGGUUUGUUUCUUUGUUCACUUUUGCAAAAUCUCAACGUUCUAUUCAAAAUAAUAUAGUGAUUCCAGUUCUAAAUCAGGGAUAAAGAGCUGUUCAAAAUGGCACAGAUCCUGUAUUGUCUCACAGCCAUUAAAAAUGAAACACUAUGAAAUGUAAACAAAAGUAAGAAUUCUCUGCAAGAAAAAUAACGCACAGGUGAAUGAGGAGAGUAUUUGACCACCGUUAUCCACUUAAUUGCACUUCACAAUACAUUUACAGCCUGCCUUACCAGUAAAGGAGUAUCAAGUAUCUGUGCUGCCAUAAGGAAGACUCCAAUUUGGGAGCAGACAAGUUGCUUCAGGGCUGGUGGAAGAGCAAAAACUGCAAAGGUAAGAUGCUGGUACCAGGGGGAAACUCGACUGUUCAGUUCUGUAGUAUCCCUGCAGAGUUGGAGUAUGCAGUUUUUUCCAUCUCAGCACUGAAUGAAGCCGUUCUGACACACUGCAAGGUAGAAGGAAGAAUAAGAUUAAAGCACAAAGACAGAAAACUGCUGAUAGAGGGUGAGGCACACGAAAGCGACGAAAAAGGAAUGGACAGGUUACCCCAUUGACUUCCCCUAUGCCGGCUGUAUUUGCUGCGUAGACAGAAGUGCUAACACAUGUGAAUUUAACCUGAUGGUGUCAUAUUUGUACAAUGAGGAAUGUCAAGGCUGAAGCCCACUUGGAAGCAGAACCGCCAAGCAGAGCUUAAUUUCUGAAAUAAGAAAGUGACUGAGCUCAUGCUCUCUGACCUGGAAGUCCUUAACCCAAAUUGCAGUUGCGGGGUGGGAGUAAUACCAACGGCCAGUGGAGAGGAAAAGACAGACACUUUGCAUAUGCUGUCUUGCUCUCUCUUGUUGUUUCAUGACUGAGGUGGGGGAAAGUUCUGGGUUCAGAUUUAGCUCAGCUUCUCACCCAAUAAGCCUUGUUCCUUCAUCUCAAUUUGUUUUCACGAGUUACUCGUUUUAGGCUAGUCUAGUUUAUGAAUGAUCUCAAUAAAAGGUAGAAAACAAAGUAAAGUCUGUGGACAAUAUAGCUUUUUAAUUUGAUUCCCCCCUCCCCCAUACACACAGAC